UAACAUAAACCAUUUAGUUUUCCAUUAAGAGUGAAAGCAGUUGCUCGAGUCACGUAAAGAACAAAGUUUCCCAUAGGGAACUAAGCACAGGUCCAGGUUUACCCAUCCAGUGUGACAGUAAAACAGAAUUGCUGAAGGAUCUGAAUCGACAGGAAACAGUGCAGGUGUUGAGGAGCUAUGACUUUGAAGUAGCCUAUCGGGCAGCAGUUCACAAGACACUGGCACGGAAAGGUUCUAUGGCAGAAUAUCAACUGUUUACUAUGGAGGAUGAAAUCUGUGAAGAACUGUUACAGCAACAGGCUGAAGAUACAGGCCGAAUGCAAAAGUAUCGGCGGCUGGUGUAAUGAGACGAGCAAUGGAAUCUUACACGAUGAAGAUGAUCUGCAGAUUUUUCUGGAGAUGAAACUUUUUCCACAAGUGACUGUGAAAUAUAGAACUCAAGCAAGAUUUUAAAACUAUUUAUUCUAUGUAUGUUUGUAUUUAUUCCACUAAAAAUGUAAUUACCCAUCUUCCUGGACUUGAAAUCAGGGCAAAAGGCCUUGCCAAAGACAGUGAAAUCUUUUUGCUAUUUAUCACUGAGGGAAGGACUGACCUAUCGGUGAAAUACACCGACGAAGAAACUGACUGUAAAGCAGAGAAGUACAAGAUAACAUAGUAGGACAUUGGUAGAAGUGAGUCAACAGAAAUCAAAGCUGUUGUAGGCUUGUUGUUCAUGUCUGGGGUUCUUAAAUAUUCUAGAUUGACUUUAACAGACAUGUAUUCUCCAGUAUAUAGCCCAGCUGUAUGGAAGUUGAAAAGAAACAUUAAUUUCUACUCGGAGCAGUACAUUUUGAUACAAAAACUACAACGGAUCUUAGAAAAGAAAGCGACAAAUUUGCCACAUUCCUGGAAUUUUAAAAUUUGUUCAAUCAGAAUUGUUCAGAAUACUACAGCCCUUCAGAAUAUUGAUGCGACCUUUUUGAGCUGUGGCAGCACAUACCCUUAUAUAUCCCAAAUGCCACAUAAAUAUGGUCUUCAGAUCAUUGCAAUAUGGGAUGCGCGAAUGUUUUAUUUUUUGCGGUGGGAUUCCUUAAGUUGGCAGGGAGAACAGACCUGAAAGUAUCUUGCUCUUGCAAACACAGAAUGUUCUAAAGCUUACUGAGACACAGGCAGGAACCAACAGCACCAACAACUGGUUAUCCUCUUGUGAAUUCAUUGAAGAAUUAAAUAAAAGAAAACUCACUUUAGUCAGUACACUCCAGAAGAGCAAAAAAUAACUCCCACCAUCCAUGAUAAAUCCAAAGGUCAUAAUAAGAAUUCUUCAAAAUUUCUGUAUAAUGAUCUGAAGGUGCUUGUUUCUUUCUCUCUGAAGAAAAAUAAAAUUGUAGUCCUCAUAUCAUCCAUGCAUUUCAUUGACGAAACUGAUGAAAAACAUCCAGAAACCUGCCGUAGUUGAAUUCUAUAAUUGGACUAAAGAGGGCAUGAAUGUUUUUGAUAAGUAAAGUUAUGCAAAAUCCAUCAAAACAAUGGGCAAA